UGCUCUCUCUCACUUUUCUCGAUCAAACACUAGGUAUAACUUAUAAUUCAACGACAAUUCACCGAUUAAUUCCAUACCUGUUCAUUUAUAAUUCACCAGUUAUCAAACAAGGAAGGCGCCUACUGUAUCGUACAUAUGACUAUGACCGGUCGGCUGUGAGCUGGAAAUGUCAAUCCCGUGAGUCAUAUAUGUGCUCAGGAUGCAGUUCCAAGGACCUUGGGAUAGAAGGUUGUGAGGGCCAUACUUGGUGGAUAACGGGUAUGGCUACUAUCUACGGAGAAGUGAAGCACAGCCUUGUGAUCAGGGANNNNNNNNNNNNNNNNNNNNNNNNNNNNNNNNNNNNNNNNNNNNNNNNNNNNNNNNNNNNNNNNNNNNNNNNNNNNNNNNNNNNNNNNNNNNNNNNNNNNNNNNNNNNNNNNNNNNNNNNNNNNNNNNNNNNNNNNNNNNNNNNNNNNNNNNNNNNNNNNNNNNNNNNNNNNNNNNNNNNNNNNNNNNNNNNNNNNNNNNNNNNNNNNNNNNNNNNNNNNNNNNNNNNNNNNNNNNNNNNNNNNNNNNNNNNNNNNNNNNNNNNNNNNNNNNNNNNNNNNNNNNNNNNNNNNNNNNNNNNNNNNNNNNNNNNNNNNNNNNNNNNNNNNNNNNNNNNNNNNNNNNNNNNNNNNNNNNNNNNNNNNNNNNNNNNNNNNNNNNNNNNNNNNNNNNNNNNNNNNNNNNNNNNNNNNNNNNNNNNNNNNNNNNNNNNNNNNNNNNNNNNNNNNNNNNNNNNNNNNNNNNNNNNNNNNNNNNNNNNNNNNNNNNNNNNNNNNNNNNNNNNNNNNNNNNNNNNNNNNNNNNNNNNNNNNNNNNNNNNNNNNNNNNNNNNNNNNNNNNNNNNNNNNNNNNNNNNNNNNNNNNNNNNNNNNNNNNNNNNNNNNNNNNNNNNNNNNNNNNNNNNNNNNNNNNNNNNNNNNNNNNNNNNNNNNNNNNNNNNNNNNNNNNNNNNNNNNNNNNNNNNNNNNNNNNNNNNNNNNNNNNNNNNNNNNNNNNNNNNNNNNNNNNNNNNNNNNNNNNNNNNNNNNNNNNNNNNNNNNNNNNNNNNNNNNNNNNNNNNNNNNNNNNNNNNNNNNNNNNNNNNNNNNNNNNNNNNNNNNNNNNNNNNNNNNNNNNNNNNNNNNNNNNNNNNNNNNNNNNNNNNNNNNNNNNNNNNNNNNNNNNNNNNNNNNNNNNNNNNNNNNNNNNNNNNNNNNNUAUAUAUAUAUAUAUAUAUAUAUAUAUAUAUAUUCUAAUAUUCAAAAAAUUUAUUCCUAUUUUACUCAAGCAUGAAUUUUGGCUUGUAAGGCCUCUGCCACAUGUCGCAUUCUUGGUGUGCCAGGUGGACAAAAUGUAUGGUCCAGAGUUGGUACUUCUAAUAUUUCAGAAAUUGUUAUACAUUGAGAUUAUUAAAUUUAUAAAUUUCAUAAAAUUCAAAGUUCGGCAUGUUCUUUUCAUUAAUUAUUUGAAGUAAUAGGAAUAAUGAACAAAUCGAGCUUUGAUUUUAUGUAAUCUAUAAAAUUAAUGAUCUCAAUAAUAAUUUAUAUUCAGUAUUAGAAUCAAAAUAACGAUAAUGAGGGCUAAACGUCAGCGGUGCUAAUAGAAUGUGUUUAGCAUAAUAUUUCUCGAUAAAAUAAUACUCUCUCUGUCCAUAAAAAUUAUAAUGUGAUUUGAAAGACAUGUGUUUUAAAUUGUUGAUGGAUGUGUAUAAGGAGGACCCAUUAGAAUUGCUCGGAGAAAAAGACCCACCAAAAUUAAGGUGUUAAAUAAUUGACUAUUUUGUAAAUUAUAUUUUGAGUUUGGAUGAAGCUUAAAAUAUCAGAGACGAUUUUUAAAAAAGACUAUAUUUUUAUAUAAACAGACAAAAAUAAUAAUAUAGGCAGAGGGAACAUAUAAAUAGUACUCCCUCCGUCCACCAAUUCAAGACCUACUUGCUUUUUGGUCCGUCCACAAAAACAAGGUCUACCUAUUUUUGGUAAGUUUUUAUUCAUUAUUUAAUCAAAAAAGUCAAAGAUUCUUUACAAAAAAGUGGGACCCUUUUUCCACUCAACUAAUAAAAAUACACUUUUUCUUAAAAAGUGGGACCCUUUCUCCACUCAACUAAUAAAAAUACACUUUUUCUUAAAACUCGUGUUUUUCAUAUAUGUCUUUAAUUGGUGGACGGAUGGAGUAUAUAAAAGACGAAUAAUAUAUAGUCACGUCACAACUUAUAUCGUAGCGCGGUCCCAUUGUCAAGUAAUAACAUUUAGACAUGGUCAUCAAGGGUAAAAACUUUCAAUUUAAUUUGAAAUGAAAUACAAAAGUUUAUGUUAAUUUGUCUCAUUGUUAAAAGAUCAAUAUUUUUUUUCCUAAAAAAGAAAAUCAAUAUUUUAUUUCUAAUCCAUACUCUUGCAUACUUGUAAAUACAAAUGUACCAAUUUAAAUGGGGAAUAAAUAUGGAUUUCAUCUAAAUCUGAAUUCAUCUCACUACGAGACUGUCUUACGCAUGACUAUCGGACAUGGAAAGCAACAACUUACAACGUGCUCAUGCAUAUAAAUACUGACAUUCUGAAAGCAGAAAUACCAACAAAAUAUCAUCUGCUCUGCUCCCCACAAAAUCUCUAUCCAUUUUUCCCCUUCCUCUUUAAAUCUAUAACGAUGGAUUCUAACCGCACCAAGCGGCGGAGCUUCUCCAAAUCAAAGCUAAUCAAGUCGCUCUAUCGAGCGGCGAAACCUUCCGCCGCCACCAAUUCCUCGCCGACUCCUUACGAAUUCGGUGUCGCCAAUCAGCCAAGCAAGCCGAAGAUGGCCCCUUCUCCAGCCGUCGGCUUCAUUGUCGUGAACCAGGAGAAGGUUUUUCCGCAGCCGGUGCCUAAAGUAUCGUUCGUCGUGGCGGAGAGGAAUCGCGAUUCUUGCGGCCGGAUGGAGAAUUUCUACGGCGCCGCCGCCGAUGAAGGCGUCGACGCGAAGGCGGCAAAGUAUAUAUCCACCGUUCAGGAGAGAUUCCGGCUUGAACGUGUUAAUUCGGAACGCAAGAAUUACCAAGAUAUUCUUGUCUAAUUAAUAUUACAUCUGAUUUUGUUGAUUAAACAAGUUGUCUACGUUGCUGUGUUUAUGAAUUAUUAUGUAUAAUUGUUGUAUUUGGUUUUUGUGGUCAAUGAAUUCUAAGUUAUCAUCUUCUGUAAAGGAAAUUUCAAUCUACUCAUAAUUUUGUCGCGAUUUAAUUUGGUAUGAAAUCCUACUAUGUUCGUAUACCGGCGACAAACGACCGCCGCCGUUGAUCGGCCCGAACUUUUAACGGCGGCGUGCGCCGUCGGUGAUUAGUGGCGGCGAUACCGCCGCCAGUAAUGUUGACCGGACGGCGGUGGCGCCACUCGUUGGAUCGGCGGUCAUUGCUGAAGUAAUACCGGCGACAAUGGCCGCCUAUGAUUAUACAGUAGUGCAUAUGUUAGACGAACUUUUCAGUCGGUCACCCAUCUUAGUUGUGCUCUAAGUCAAGCACGCUUAACCUUGAAGUUCCUUUCGAGUGGUCACCGGUACAAACACUCGUUUUAUUGACAUAUGUAGUACAUAUUAAUUCAUUUAAACACUAUUUCAAUAUACAAUAGCAUACAUUCAUAACUUUAGAAUAUGUCGAGAUGAUAUCCAAAAAAUGUCGUUAAUUAUUGAUCGGUCUCGUUUCCGUCCUUAUUUUUAUGUCGAAAAAAUAUUUAUUAAUUAAUUGAUGAUUAUUAUUAUUAUUAUUAUUAUUUAUCAAUCUAGUUUAUACACAAUAAGUAUUUUAAUUUGGUAUUUGUAAUGUAUUUUGAAUUCAAUUGCAUACGUUGAUUUCGAUCAAGGUUACCCUUUUUUUUAAGUACAUAUAUCUUUCGACUUAAUUAUACAAUCACAAUAGAUAAGAGAUGGAGAACGAGGUAAAUGCAAUAUUUUUUGAAAACAUGAAAUAAAUAGUUUAAGGAAACAUAAAUGUAAAAACAAAGUGCAAGUGUAAUGUUGUUUCAAAAUAUGAAAUAAAAAUGUUCAACAAAAAUAUAAAUACAUAAAACUCAGGACGAUGCAUGGAUCGUGGAUCGGAGACCUAAUAAGUAGGGGAUCGAGGACCCGACUGCCUCAUAUACUGCUUGAACAUAGCCCUAAUUUAAAUUAGGGAAUAGCGACGGCAAUUUCCCGCUGCUAAUUGGCGACCCGCGUUCAGUUCACCGGCGGCGUGGCAAGCCGCCGGUAAUCAAUAUAUAAUAAUAUAGUACUAUUUUAUUUAAGAUAUCACCGGUGGCGACGUUGCCACUGGUAAUGCCGCCGGUAAUUUCAAAAAGGCGGGGGUCGCCUUCUGCGCCGUUGGUGGACCGCCGGUAAUUUUGGCCGGUAUUUUCGCGAAUUUUUGUAGCGUGUAUUUUAUCUUUAUUAUUUAUUUUAAUUCUUCAAGCAUUAUUAUAUUUAUUCAUUUUUAUUUAUCUCUAUAAUUACAUCUCAUUGAUUUUUAUUGAGAUUUCACCAGAUAAAAACUUAUGUAAAACGAUGAUUCCAUACUCCAAAUGAAACACUCGCAUUUAAUUAAUAUCUCACAUUGAUUUCCCUUUCAAAAAAAAAUCUCACAUGUAGGGAUAUAAAAAAAAGUCUGAAACCGAUGGAUCCACCCAAAUAGACCGAUAAAAAAUGAGGGUUAGAGCUGAAAAUUUUUAGCCCGAAAAAAAUUUAGCCUACAUGGCUCGAACCGAAAAUAAUCCGAGCCCGAUAGAGUUGGCCCCAAAACCAAGUGGGUUGUCCCGCUUAACCGAACACUUUCUUAUUAAUUAAUUUUUAAACUUUAAUACUUUAUCUUUUAAUUCGAUAAUAAUAUUUUGAUGCUUGUAGAAUAUAUGUUGGAACUUAAUGAAAUAUCUAGCCCUAGUUUUGAUGAUACCAAAAUCCUUAAGUUUUCUUUGUAAUAGACUAGAACUUUGUGAACUCAAGUGUUGGAGUUUUUUUUCUAGUUUAGCUAGUGUUCUGAAGACUGAAGACCGGUNGAAUGAAGAAUGAAGAACGAAGGACUGAAGACUGAAGACUGAAGAACUCGACCGAUGUUCGCAAUUAAAGGCAAAAGUCAAAUACUGAUAUUUGACUAGAACGAGUUUCUCAACUGAAGAAUCAGUUAUGACUGAUUCAUCUAAUGCUGGCUACGUGGAAUUAGCGGACUGAUACUAAAGUCAAGUAUCAGUUGAUAUUCUUCCUCGGACUGAAACACCAAUGUUUAAAGGAAGCCACGCAAUCAAAGUAUAGCCGCAUUCAAUGCAGAGAUACAGAGGAUCAUCCUUUCUCUGCAGAGCAUUUCUUUUUGGUGAUUACCUUUUCAGAGGCCCUUACCUUGUACUGAGUAGCCGUUUUCACCAAAAAGGAACCUCGAAGAUUGAAGCCUCAGCAAAAUUCGAAUUACUCUCCAACGGAUGAAUUCUUGAAGACCAUCUCCGCCAACGGAUCUAUUUAAGACCUCUCCUAUAAAUAGAGCUCGAGGAUCACUUCAAUCUUCACCGAUUCAAAUACACAAGCUGAAAGCUGCCGAAAUUGCAACUCAGCAAGCAAAGCCUUCCAAAGUUUGAAUCGAAAAGAGAAUCACAAAGCCAAAAUCAGUCCAUUGUGAUUACAUAUAUUCUCUUAGAACCUUAGGAAAAUAUUAUUUAUCAAAGCCUAAGUUACUGAUUACAGAGAGCGUGUUUUCUGUGAUCUAGUUGGUAGUUUUCGAACCUCCUUUCAACUGAGCGAAAAGAGUGUUUGAAGUUGUGUGGAGUUCAGACCAGUGUUCUGACUCCAAAGAGAUCUUAGUGCCCAGUGUGCGCUAAUGUGUUUGAGAAAUCCAACCCAGUCUGUUGGUGCUGAAACGUGUGAUUUCAGUUAAAGGUUUGUUGUGCACCCGUAAGAUAAGCCAGAGUGUUUGUCAGUGUGAUCUACUGACCGUGGAUGUAGGAAUUGAAUUCCGAACUACGUAAAAAUCCCUUUGUCGUUUAUCGCUUUCAGUUUUACUUUCUUGUCUGUGCACAAACGUUCUUAACUGAAACUGACUAAUCGCAAAGUGAAACAUAAACCUGACAACGUGUUAAUCACAAAGGCUUUUUCAAAAGACAGUUUUUCGCUGCGUGUGUUAUUAGUCUAACUGAUAAUUCUUCGGAUAGUCAGUAAGAUUCAUAACACUUCUCUGUUCAAUCCAAGACUGAAGCUCUACGAGAGUAUCAGUUAAAGUCUUGACUUUAACUGAUACCUUUACUGAAGUGUUUUUCAGUAUCAGUCUUCAACCUUUCGUUUACUGUUAAAGGUUGUAUUGUGUUUAAUUUUGAAAAACUGUCUUUAAGUGUAUUCCCCCCAUACACCUAUUCUAGACCUUACGGGACCUAACAAUAUAUUUUGAUUUUUUUCUAACGGUUAAUACUCUCUCCGUCCCACUAUAAGUGAGACCCUUUUUUUGGGCACGAGAAUUAAAAAGGUGUGUAUUUUGUCAUUUUGUGUGUAGGUGAAAAAGUGAAAAUGUGUUUAAAGGGUAAAAUUUUUACCCAAAAAGGAAAGAGUCUCACUUAUGGUGGGACACCGAAAAUAGAAAGAGUUUCACUUAUAGUGGGAUGGAUGAAGUAACAAACAUCUAUGAUAUAAAAGUAAAAGAAAGAUAGUCAUUUAUAUACAAUUUUUAUCAGAAACGAAGUAAAAGCUAGAUAUUAUAUAAACUUACGUUAAAAUAACACUAAUUUUUAUAUCUAAAAUAAGGCGAAAUAUAUCUUGAUUUAAAAAACACGGCGUAUUUUAUUCUAAAAAUACGAUUAUCUAUAAAAAACACCUCGUGUUCGGAGUAAAAAAAUCUUAAACUUGCAAGUCCGAACAGGCUAGCCCGAAACCGAGUGCGUUAGGAUUAGGGUCGAAAGAAUUUAGUCCGGAAAAAAAAAAUCGACUAGCUUGAACAAAAAAUAACCCGAAAUCGAUUUUUUUUAUGAGGUUUGCAAAUGAAAAUUUAUAUAAAAAUUGCUUCUGUUCUCCAAAUCAAUAACCCAUAAUCUCUGGAAAGUGCACACUCUCGUUUCACGCAUUUUUCUUCGAUUUCAUUCUCCUCCAAUCAUGUUCACUUUUUGAUCUGUUCAUCCACAAACUCGUAACACAAUAAAGUCUUAACUUAAUUACUAAACAUAAUUGUGUCAAAAUGAGAGUGAUUUUCCGCAAAAACAACGAACACCAACCGGUAGUAUAUUCGAGAAUAUAAUUCAUAUCAAGCUCAAUUGCUCAAACAACACAAUAUGCAUAAAAUUACAAACAGUCUUAGCAUCGCAACGUCCGAAGAAACAAAGAAAAAUACAUAUUCAUCAAGUUCUAUGUGGUAUCAUUAUAUUUAAAAGGUAACUCCUACCCCAAAUAACUUCUGCACGGCCUAAAAGUCAUUUGGUACACAUUAUUGUCUCAUUUUUGGUGAUUGAUAUUUCUUACGACUCACGUUUCAUGGGCCCUAGCCAAAAUGAGAAAAAGGGUCAUUUUAAUUGAAUAUGAUUGUGUGUCCGUGAGCCGGUUAUUAUAAUAAAUAAGAUUGGAGCCUUUAUUAUUUUAUUUUUAUUACUGAUUGGGGCUCAAUAUGUGACUGAAAAAACUUAGUUUUAUAUAAUAAUAAAGUAAAAGUAAAAAAUUGAGGCCCCAUUUUGCCGUGUGAUGAGUUUAGAAAUAAUUCUAAUAAUUGGAAAAUAGAUAAAAGCAAUAAACGACACAAGAAUAUAUGUGGUUCAAUCAUAAAUGAUCUACGUCAACGGGGCUGCCCGAGUUUCACUAUAUCUCGGAUGGGAUUACAUUGUACCUUGUUUUAGAAUGGAAGAGAGUGUCCUUAACCUAAUAAUGGAAGUCCUAUUUAUAAGCAUCUAAUUAGCCUUGGCCCAUUUAGUAUCUAGGGCCCAUUAACCCAUAUAACUAAGCCUAGAUCAUUAUUACAGAGCUAAGCCAUCGAGAGUAAUACAGAGCUGGUGUAGAGCCGAGCUUGGCCAGGGCGAGAGAGCCUUACGUGGUCAGAGCUGGUGUAUAUCAUAGCUGGAAAGUGGGGUCAAACAAUGCCAAAUCAGCCCUGUCAAGUUCAGAGCUGCACCAAAAAUUUAAAAUAAACAUAUUAGCAGUAUUAAUAAUAAUAAGAAUAAAUAGAGAUAUUCCGGUCCAGUUGUGCAUAACGAUGGUGCAUAUUUUACUCCUCAUCAGCUACUCCCCCUGGUGUGGUCAAACAAAUCUCUUCAAAGUUUGACCAUAUGUCAGAACUGCUUUUAAAGCUACUAGCUACCCCCCUGGUGUCGUGCGCGUACUUUAGAAGUCAAGCACGAUUCUGUUGUUGUUUUCAUGUUAUGAAUAUCCCUUGUUUUGAUUAUUUGCCAGUUUUUAUUUCAAAUUUUUAUUAUUUUGAUCAUCUGUGAUCAUGUGUACUCUGAGUGCUCUGCAUAGCAUUCUGCUCUGGUUCAUAGCAUCUACUUUCCUUGAGUGAUAGCACUGCCUAUCAGUUGUGCAUAACGAUGGUGCAUAUUUUACUUCUCAUCACAGGGCCGGCCCUUGCAUAGGGCCAAAGGGGCAAGGGCCUAGGGCCCCCUAAAUUUAGGGGGCCCCAAAAUAAAUACAAGUUCACUAAUAUUAAUCCUAUUAAAAAUUUUAGAUUAUUUUUCUAAUAUUUUUAUUACAUAUAGAAUAUUGUUGAUUAUAAUGUGGUUAUUGUCCCCUAAAAAAAACACUAUACUGGUUAUUGUAACUUCAGUAGAAAGAAGUUUUUUAAAAUGAAAAUCAAUAAAAUCAUAGUAUAUAUUUGCAUUAUACUAUAUCUCAAAAAAGGUUAAAUGUAUUAGCAAUUUUAUACUUUAAACAUGGGGUAUUCUUGAAGAGGUUAUUGAUAAUUUUGUUCCCAAAAUAUUAAAAAUCUACUUUAUUUCUAUAAUUAUUUGAUCAUUAAUUUAUGAUUUAUUGCACUUUAUAAUAAUGUUAGUUAUAUAUGCAGCUAUCUCAAAUUUGCUAUAAAAUUAUGAAGCUUCAUUUUCUAGGGGGCCUUUUUUUCCUUUCGCCUAAGGCCCCCAGAAUGUCAGGGCCGGCCCUGCCUCAUCACCAUGGGCCCUAGGCGGUCACACCCCUCGCUGCCUAGGGCCGACCCUAAUUUCUUAGAGCAUCACCAAUGUAAGACUCUAAAACAAGGCUCUUAAGGAGGUGGUCCCCACCUUAGAGCUACCACUCUCCAAUGCAUUGGCUCUAAAAUGGGCUCUAAUUUUUUCAUUUAAAUUUUAUUCUAUUUUAAUUCUUCAAUUUUAAAAUUCAACAUUUCAUUAAAAUUAAAUUUCAACAUUACAUUAAUUAAAAUAAAAUACAAACUUAACAUAAAAUACAAUAAUUAAAAUUAAAAUCACAAUAAUUUAAUUAUGGCUCUAUCGGUCCAAAAUGAACCCAAAUGUAUUUGAUUAAAUCUGAUUAAUGGGCUAUGCUUAAUUUUCUCCUACUGAACUCAGCAUACGUUGGGCCAGUAUAGGGAUCAAACACAAGGAAUAAAGAUAGGCCUUAAAUGAAUUAAUUCUUAUGAUCAACCCAGAUCAUAAUUAAUUCAUAAAUAUUAAUUCAUUCAACUAGAGAAUGAAUAUUGACUAACCCUUUUAUUGUCGAAGAUGAAUCGGGGCUUCUAUUAGACUUAUCAGACCCCACAUAUUUAAGAUAUCCACCAUCCAUUAAUUAAUUAAAACUUCUGACAACUUUUAUUAAUUAACUUCUUAUUAAUAAUUAAGUAGUAACACUCCACCUUAUUAUUGCACCCGAACUUAAUAAAUCUGCAAGGUUUAGCACAAUAAACCUUUCGAGCUCCUUAAGGGGAAGUUAUCAUCCUAUAUCGGGUAUUGUUAUCUAAUACAGAUCACCAAAUGUCAUAUAUAUAUUGCUAUCAGCUAAGAUACAUAUAAGUUGGAACUUCCUUAUAAUCAAGGACAUCCUCAAUUGCUACUAACCAAGCAAGGUAAACAUGUGGAUCCAUGCCACCAUGAAAUUCAGGGAGAUCAAUCUUGCUACUGUAAUCCCAUCUGUGACUAUCUUCAGGGCGACGAUUGUGACGGCCCAUUAGGGGGGCGAAGGGAUUAUCAAUCGUGUCUUCAUCAUCAGACGAAUCGACAAAAUCGUGGUGUUGAUGGGCACCUUCCCCAUCGUUUCGUGCCGAAGGGUUUGGAUUCUGCAUAUGGCAAUCAUUGCCCCUGGUUUGUGUGGAUAACUGGUGGAAAAGUUGACCCUGUUGAGUGAGCAUUUGUAUAAACUAAUCCAUCCGUUGUUCCAAUCGCUAGAUCUCAGGCUCGAGCGGUGGUCGACGAGGCGGCAUGGCAAGGAUCAGAUAUCGACAACGUGAUACCAACUGAUGCAGCGAGCGUGACACUCAAAUGAAGAACAAUAAGAACACUCAAAUCGUUGAUAUCACCUGUUGGGAACCUUGUGGAAUAUCCUAACCCUUGUUUUGAUGAUACCAAAAAUCAUAGGACUUAAUUGUAAUAGACUAGAAUUGUUUUGAACUCAAGUGUUAGAGUUCGUUUCUAGUUUAGUUUGCGGUGUCGAAGACUGAAGACUGAAGACUGCAGAUACCAACUGAAGUGUCAGUUGAAGAAUCAGUUGAAGACUGAUUACUUAACGCGCGCAAAGGACUGAUACUAAAGUCAAGUAUCAGUUGAACAUUCCUCCUAGGACUGAUCUUCCAACGUUCAGAGGAAGCCACGUACUCACAAAGUACAGCCGCAUUAAAUACAGAGAUAUCAGGAUCUUAUCUCUGCAGAGGUCAUUCCUAUCUAGUGGUUACUUUUCAGAGACGUCACAUCUCAUGUCCAUCAAAGAGAGCUGUUUCCACCCAGACAAGGAACCUCGAAGAUUGAAGCCUCAGCCCAAAUUCGAAUUGCUCUCCAACGGAAGAAAUCUUGAGGACGAUUUACGCCAACGGAUCUAUUCAAGAGUUCUCCUACAAAUAGCGCCCGAGGAUCACUUCAACCUUCCACUCAGAUGGCGUCAAGACUCGGAGAUCAAUGUGCAACCUCGUCUUCGACAUCAACCAGAACUGCAUCAACGAAGAUAAGAUUUUCAGCUGUUUCUUAUCAUCUACAGAGCCCAAGGAUAUUGAAGAAGCUCUGAAGUCUACUCAUUGGGUCAUCGCAAUGCUAGAAGAACUAAAUGAAUUCAACCGAAAUUCAGUUUAGGAGCUAUUGGAUCGACCAGACGAUGCAAAGGUGAUUGGCUUGAAAUAGAUUUUCAAGAACAAGGAAGACGAAGAAGGAAACGUUGUGAGAAACAAAGCAAGGCUUGUAGCUAAAGGAUACAGUCAAGAAGAAGGAAUCGACUACGAUGAGACGUUCGCUCCAGUUGUCAGAUUGGAAGCAGUCAAACUCUUCUUAGCCUUCGCAGCUCACAAAGGUUUCAAGGUACACCAAAUGGAUGUCAAGUGUGCCUUUCUCAAUGGAGUGCUCACAGAUGAAGUCUAUGUAGAACAACCUCCUGGGUUUGAGGUUGCUGGACCAGAAAAGGUGUACAAGCUGAAGAAAGCGCUCUAUGGAUUGAAGCAAGCACCAAGAGCAUGGUAUGAUACUCUCUCAUAGUAUCUUGUUGAACAAGGUUUCAAGAAAGGAUUUGUGGACAGAACUCUGUUCACUCUCAAAGAAGGAGAAGAUCUCUUGCUUGUUCAGAUUUAUGUCGAUGACAUAAUUUUUGGAUCCAAAUCCGAACACAUGUGCAAGAAGUUUGCUGACAUCAUGACCAACAAGUUUCAAAUGUCCAUGAUGGGAGAAAUAAAUUUCUUUCUCGGAUUGCAAGUCAAGCAGACCAACGAAGGAAUACUGAUCAGUCAGUCCAAGUAUGCCAAGGAACUGAUAGUCAAGUUCGGUAUUCAGCACAUGAAGUCAGUCAAGAUCCCAAUGAACACAAACUGGAAAGUUGAUCCAGGUUCAGAAGGAAAAUCUGUCUCUUCGACGAAGUACAGAGAAAUCAUUGGAUCUUUGCUGUAUUUGACUGCGAGCAGACCAGACAUCGCAUUUGCAGUUGGGGUAUGUGCAAGAUAUCAAUCAGAUCCAAAGGAAGUUCAUUUGGAUGCAGCAAAGCGGAUUCUAAGAUAUCUUAAAGGCACACCCAAUUUAGGAUUGUGGUAUCCAGCAGACGACGACAUCAAGCUCACCGGAUAUUCAGACUCUGACUUCGGUGGAUGCAAGCUUGAUCGCAAAUCAACCUCCAGAACAUGUCAAUUCCUAGGCAACAAGCUCAUUUCAUGGUUUUCAAAGAAGCAGACUUCAGUCGCCACCUCUACAACUGAAGCUGAAUAUGUUGCUGCCGAAAGCUGCUGCUCACAAAUCCUGUGGUUAGUCCAUCAAUUAAAGGACUAUGGGAUCGACGAAAAGGAAGUUCCUAUCUAUUGCGACAGCUCCAGUGCUAUUGCAAUCUCCCAGAAUCCAGUUCAUCACACCAGAGUUAAACAUAUUGCUAUUCGACAUCACUUUAUCCGUGAUCAUGUCGAAAAGAAGAAUAUCUCUGUGGAAUGGAUUCCCACUGCUGUUCAGAGAGCGGACCUGCUGACCAAGGCUCUUCCAGAAGAGAUGUUCAUUGAUCUAUGUGGAAAGAUCGGCCUCAUCAACCCUGAAUAGUGAUGCUGUGUUUGAAGACUUACUCAAACAGUCAUGUUGACUGGUGGUCACCAACUGCUGAUUCUACGACGUGGAAAGCAAUGAAGUCUGAACGCUCAUCUGAAGAAGAAGACAUCCUGAUGAAUCAACCAGGAUCAAGUGAUAUCAACUGACUACAACAUUCAGUUGAUCAGUAAGUAUUUUAAAAGCUUACUUUUAAAAUCAGUUAUUUCAGUUUAGAGUUUUGUGUUUUUAGUUCAAAAACUUUUCUCUAACUGAUCAAUUUCUUUCAAAAACUUUAACUGAUUGUUGGAAAAUGGAAUAUCCGAGAAGGACAAAAGUCUUUAAAAAGGAAAAUCUGUUUUGAUGGAACUUGUCCUGAUCUUUUACCAAAAAUCUUUCCAACCUUUUGCCUCUGCAAUAAAAUUUCUUGAGAAGCUCAUUGACAUGACAGAAUGCAAUGAUGCCUUUCAACUUUUUGAAGACACAGUCCCUCGCAGUGACAGCGGACGCGAAUUUUUCUUCAAAUGCAUUUUAGGCACAGUUUUCGAAAAACUUUUCAUCUUCUCACAUGGUUCACAUCUUGUCUAUUUAUACCAUGUUGUCUUCUCAAUUUUUCUGCAUCAACUAACAACUAUCCACAGCCUUCACUGUGAGAAAAAUUUUCAAUAUUUCCAAAGUUGCAAAGAAAAAAUGUUCCGACGAAAGGAGAAAUCUAUGACUGCAAAGNNNNNNNNNNNNNNNNNNNNNNNNNNNNNNNNNNNNNNNNNNNNNNNNNNNNNNNNNNNNNNNNNNNNNNNNNNNNNNNNNNNNNNNNNNNNNNNNNNNNNNNNNNNNNNNNNNNNNNNNNNNNNNNNNNNNNNNNNNNNNNNNNNNNNNNNNNNNNNNNNNNNNNNNNNNNNNNNNNNNNNNNNNNNNNNNNNNNNNNNNNNNNNNNNNNNNNNNNNNNNNNNNNNNNNNNNNNNNNNNNNNNNNNNNNNNNNNNNNNNNNNNNNNNNNNNNNNNNNNNNNNNNNNNNNNNNNNNNNNNNNNNNNNNNNNNNNNNNNNNNNNNNNNNNNNNNNNNNNNNNNNNNNNNNNNNNNNNNNNNNNNNNNNNNNNNNNNNNNNNNNNNNNNNNNNNNNNNNNNNNNNNNNNNNNNNNNNNNNNNNNNNNNNNNNNNNNNNNNNNNNNNNNNNNNNNNNNNNNNNNNNNNNNNNNNNNNNNNNNNNNNNNNNNNNNNNNNNNNNNNNNNGUUGCCAAAAGGGGAAAGAAGCACAAUCUUAUGUAACUUAAGUCGGUUAAGCACAUGAUCAUCCUAUUCUAUCCGAUGAUCAUGAGGAAGAUUAGCCAAGAGGAUAAGACCUCAAAUCAACGGAACACAAGUGAGAGUGGAACAAACUUAGGAACAUGAAGACACGAAGACAGAAGAUGAAGAUCAAGAAGUUCAAGGCGCAGCCAAGCAGACUGCUGGAGUCCAUGGGUUUCCCAUGUUGUUUUGUUUUUAUUUUUACUCCAAUGUAAGUCUUGCUCUGUACCUAGACUGAUGGCUUAUCAGUCUUUUAUUAAUGAAAAGAACUUCUUUUUGAUCUCAACCUGAAGACAAUGACUCUUUGUCCAGGCUCUGAUUAUGUUUUUCUGUCUUCUCCUUGUUCUGUUUUUAGAACUGUUUCGUUCUUAACUCUAAGUACAAGUUUUUAGGUUCUAUUGUUAAGGGGGAACUGCUUUCACCCCAUGUUUAGAACUUGUACUGUGAGUUCAGUCUUUUUGCUGUCUAGAACUGCUGUGUGGUUUUGGCAUCAUCAAAAAGGGGGAAAUUGUUGGGAACCUUGUGGAAUAUUCUAACCCUUGUUUUGAUGAUACCAAAAUUCAUAGGACUUAAUUGUAAUAGACUAGAAUUGUUUUGAACUCAAGUGUUAGAGUUCGUUUCUAGUUUAGCUUGCGGUGUCGAAGACUGAAGACUGAAGAACGAAGGACUGAAGACUGAAGACUGCAGAUACCAACUGAAGUAUCAAUUGAAGACUGAUUACCUAAUGCGCGCAAAGGACUGAUACUAAAGUCAAGUAUCAGUUGAACAUUCCUCCUAGAACUGAUCUUCCAACGUUCAGAGGAAGCCACGUACUCACAAAGUACAGCCGCAUUAAAUGCAGAGAUCUCAGGAUCUUAUCUCUGCAGAGGUCAUUCCUAUCUGGUUUUUACUUUUCAGAGACGUCACAUCUCCUGUCCAUCAAAGAGAGUCGUUUCCACUCAGACAAGGAACCUCGAAGAUUGAAGCCUCAGCCCAAAUUCGAAUUGCUCUCCAACGGAAGAAAUCUUGAGGACGAUUUACGCCAACGGAUCUAUUCAAGAGUUCUCCUACAAAUAGCGCUCGAGGAUCACUUCAACCUUCAUCGAUUCAACGACAUAAGCUGAAGCUCUACCGAAAUUGCUACUCAGCCUUAAGCUUAAACUCCCCAAAGCUUGAAUCGAAGAAGAGAAUUCCAAAGCCAAAAUCAGUCACUGCUGAUUAUAUACAUUCUCUUAGAGCUUAGGCAUAACUCUGUUCACCCAGAAACCAAAGGUCAAACUUGCUUCAAAGAACUUGUUCUUUGUAAGUAUAGUUGGCACUCGUUCAAACCUCCCCCCAUAAGAGUGUUUUGAGUGAUUCGGAGGUCAGAAGGGUUUUCUGACUCUGAGAGUCUUAGCACGGGUUGUGUUAAGCAAGGGAAAUCCGACGCGAGUGAAGCGUGGGUACUGAAGAAGGGUUUUCUUCAGUGUACGGUUGUGUGCACCCGGCAAGCACACGGUUUGGUUUGCAGUGCACCGGUUAAGCACUUGCAGAGUGGAUUGUUGGUCUGAUCAACCAACAGUGGUUGUAGGAAAGGGUUUUUCCGAACCACGUAAAAGUCUCUGUGUUGUUUACAGCUUUCAGUUUUACAUUCUUACUUGUGUUAUUUCAAUUGAUAAACUGAACAUGACUAACUGCAAAGAGAAACCAUAACCAACAACUUGCUCCACCGAGGCUAUUUUGAAACUAAGUUUAAUUUCCGUUGCGUAUGAUAUCAGUCUGACUGAUCUAUCUUCUGAUAGUCAGGAAGAGUGUUAUCAUCUCUGUUUUAGCAAACUCAACUGAAGCCCUUACUUGCAUCAAUUAAGUUCCAGCAACUUAACUGAUAACUCUUUACUGAAGAGCCUUCAGUAUCAGUCGUCAACCCUGUUUGGUCAAAACUGAUUUCAGUAAAACAGGCGUCUCUGUUUGCAUGCAAAGUUUCGUUUUGAUCUCUGACUGAGAUCCCUCUGAUUGAGGAUUGAUUGAAAAAUAGCCCAUAGGUGUAUUCCCCCCCAUACACCUAUUCGAGACCCUCAGGACCUAACAGUCUGUAAGGCCCUCACGAGCGCGUAGAGCUCCUUGUCGUAUGUAGGGUAGUUCAACGUCGCUCCACUCAACUUCUCGCUGAAAUAUGAGAUGGGACGCUUCUCUUGCAUCAACACUGCACCAAUUCUGAGACCAGAAGCAUCACAUUCUAUUUCAAAACUUUUUGAAAAGUUAGGGAGAGAUAAUAUCGGGGCGUGAGUGAGCUUGUACUUCAGUUGCGCGAAGGCCUCCUCUUUCGCCUUGCCUCACUCGAACUCCACAUUUUUCUUGAUCACCUCGGUGAGCGGCGCUGCCACGCUACUAAAGUGAGGUACGAACCGCCUAUAGAAGCUAGCAAGGCCGUGGAAGCUUCGUACCUCGCCGAUGCUCGUGGGUGUCGGCCACUCCUGAAUAGCGCGGAUCUUCUCUUCAUCAACCUGGACACCCUGCGUGCUAACAACAAAACCAAGAAACACAACCCUAUCCGUACAGAACGUGCACUUCUUAAGAUUAGCAAAUAGCUUCUCUUUGCGAAGUACGUCCAUAACAGACCGUAAGUGCUCGACAUGGUCGUCAUAAUGCUUGCUAUAAAUGAGGAUAUCAUCAAAAUAGACUAUGACAAAUCGACCAAUGAAAGCACGUAAAACAUGAUUCAUGAGACGCAUAAACGUACUCGGAGCAUUAGUCAAGCCAAAAGGCAUAACUAACCACUCGUACAAACCCAGUUUUGUUUUAAACGCAGUCUUCCAUUCAUCACCUUCCUUAAUUCGUAUUUGGUGAUACCCACUAUGCAAAUCAAUUUUGGAAAAGACACAAGCACCAUGCAGCUCAUCAAGCAUAUCAUCUAAGCGAGGGAUGGGAUGGCGAUACUUUACCGUGAUGUUAUUAAUGGCUCGGCAAUCGCAGCACAUCCUCAUGGUUGAGUCCUUCUUAGGUACGAGAAGAACAUGUACCGCACAAGGGCUCAAGCUCUCCCUCACGUGUCCCUUAGCUAGCAGCUCACCGAUUUGCCUUUCCAACUCCUUUGUCUCCUCCGGAUUGGUACGGUAGGCUGGUCGGUUUGGUAGCGCAGCUCCAGGCACGAAGUUAAUUUGAUGUUCAAUCCCGCGAAGUGGUGGUAAACCAUACGGUAUCUCAUCGGGGAAGACAUCAGCGAAGUCCUGCAAAACCGAUUGAAUAGGAGGGGGAAGGGAAGAGAGGUCGUUAGCAGUAAAUAAAGUCUCUCGGAACCGCAACAACACCAUCGGUCUUUUCUCCUUCAUGCACAACUUGAUAUCACACGGUCUAGCAAGGAAUGAUUUGUGCAUCACUCCCAUCGUCUUUGCCUCCACCGGUUGCUCCUUGUUUGUGACUGUGGCUGCCUCCUUGAGUAGUUUCACCUGAUCCUCGUACACUUGUGUGGGACUGAGAGGAACAAGGGACAUGCACUUGUGCUGAAACUCGAAGGAGUACUUAUUUGUAAAGCCGUCGUGGGUCACACGCCGAUCAAACUGCCAAGGGCGACCCAACAGAAUAUGGCACGCCUGCAUUGGGAUAACAUCGCACAAAAUUUCGUCUUCAUACCUGCCAAGGCGAAUAGGCACGCGAACUUGCCGUGUAACUCUGACAUUGCCGACGUUACUCAACCAUUGUAAGCGAUAUGGUUUUGGAUGUUUCACUGCGGUCAACCCUAAUUUCUCCUCCAUGUGCUUACUCGCCACGUUCAUCGUCUAUAAUGACGCUGCAGAGCUUGUCACGAAUCAAACACCGCGUGUGAAAAAGGUUCUCCCGCUGCUCCAGCUCGUCUGUCUGCAGUUGCAUGGUCAAAGCUCACCGGGCUACUAAGAAGUGUCCCGUGGGUGCAUCCAGCUCCUCCUCAUCGGGCUCUUCCAAUUCAGGCAUAUCUGGGUCUGUCUCUUUCCCAUCGAUGAUGACUUCACCAUCUUCUCGGAGGAUCAUGAUGCGCCUAUUCGGACACUCGCUCAUGAUGUGGCCGAAUCCUUGACAACGGAAACAUUUCUUGUCACGGUAUCUGCCCUCGGACGCUGUGGCAGCGCUGGAAAUAGGGGCCUUCGAACCUCCGCCAUUCUGACUCUGUUUAGGAUGUGUAGCAGAGCUGAAAGAGCUCUGGCCUUGGUUCUGACUGUCGCCAGAGCUGAAAGAGCUCUGUCGCUGAUUCUGCUCUGUUCUGCCGCCCGCGCUGGAAGCACUCUGGUGUUGUCGCUGUGCAAUGCCAGAGCUGAAAUUGUUACGCUGGUUGCUGCCAGCGCUGACAUUGCUGCGCUGACCUCCGCUCCUCUGCUGACUGCCAGUGCUGAAAGGGCUGCGCUGACUGCCUCCAUAGCUACCUCUCCGCUGGAGUUGAUUCUCAACCUUAAUCGCCAUGUGGACCAUGUCUUCCAGCUCAACAUAGUGUUGUAAUUCCACUUUAUCUCGAAUAUCCCACUGCAAUCCAGCCAAGAAUCGAGCCAUGGUUGCCUCCCUUUCUUCCACAACAUUAGCACGUAUCAUAGCCAUCUCCAUCUCUUUGAAAUACGCGUCGACACUCCUACUCCCCUGCUUCAUCGUUUGCAGCCUGUUGAAGAGCUCCCGGUAGUAAUGGUUUGGUACAAACCGCUUCCUCAUCACUACUUUCAUCUCGGUCCAGCUCUGGAUAGGCGGCUCGCCAUUCCGUCUCCGACUAGUCACCGUUUGGUCCCACCAAACGAGUGCGUACUCUGAGAAUUCAAUUGCUGCCAGUUUCACCUUUUUGAGCUCUGAAUAUUUGUGACAAUCGAACAAGAGCUCCACCUUCUUCUCCCAUUCAAGGUACAGCUCGGGAUCAUUAUUCCCUUGGAACAAGGGAAUAUUCAUCUUAAUGUUGUUGAGGUUAUCAUCUUGAUAGCUCGAACCGUUCUCUCGAUGCCAACGCCCUUCUCCAUCUUCCUCAUACUCGGACUCCUCAUCCUGCUCUUCACGACGGUGCACAUUGCGAACGGGCAUGCGCCAACCUCCAGGNUCUCCAUCUCUUUGAAAUACUCGUCGACACUCCUACUCCCUUGCUUUGGACUAUAAUAGGAUUAUGCAAUAACAAUAUUUCAGAUAGAAGAAUCACAGUGAACAAAGGAAUCAAUGUAUACAAGCAUGAAGUCUUGCUUUCAGUAUACAACCCUUCAAUUAGCACGUAUCAUUGCCAUCUCCAUCUCUUUGAAAUACUCGUCGACACUCAUACUCCCUUGCUUCAACGUUUGCAGCCUGUUGAAGAGUUCCCGGUAGUAAUGGUUUGGUACAAAUCGCUUCCUCAUCACUGCUUUCAUCUCGGUCCAGGUCUGGAUAGGCUGCUCGCCAUUCCGUCUCCGACUAGUCACCGUUUGGUCCCACCAAACGAGCGCGUACUCGGAGAAUUCAAUUGCUGCUAGUUUCACCUUUUUGAGCUCUGAAUAUGUGUGACAAUCAAACAAGAGCUCCACCUUUUUCUCCCAUUCAAGGUACAGCUCUGGAUAGUUCUUCCCUUGGAACGAGGGAAUAUUCAUCUUAAUGUUGUUGAGGUUAUCAUCUUGAUAGUUCGGACCGUUCACUCGACGCCAACGCCCUUCUCCAUCUUCCUCAUACUCGGACUCCUCAUCCUGCUCUGCACGACGGUGCACAUUGCGAACGGGCAUGCGCCAACCUCCAGGACCACGGCCACCACCUCGGCCUUUACGACCCCCAAAAUCACCUCGAGCCGAAGUGGCAUGGUAUUGUUCAAACAAAUCCAUCCGCUGAUCCAUGACUCUUUCCCCUCUCUGCAUGCUUCGAGUUUGGACUCGAGUUUGGAGUCUAGUGUGGACUCGAGCUUGGACUCCAGGAGCUUCUCCAUCACCGAUUGGAAAGCCUCCAUUGUAAAGUCCAUUGUUGAAGGUAUGGCAGAUGCCUCUCCCCAUGCAAACCCUGUUCAACUUUUUUUGACAUUAUUAUUGAAACAAAGAAAAGGUUAGUAGCAAUAAAAUAAAAGAAACCUCACCACCUCACAACACUCGUGUAUGUCACUCAAAGAGGAGUCGCUCAACACUCGUGUAUCACACAAAGAACGGCUUUUUCCCUCUUUUGAUCUCACCACUCUUGCCUUUUUCCGCUCUAUUUCUCGUCUCAAGAAAAUCGAACUCCCUCGAUCUACCACGUGAAGUCAACGUACCAACUGCACAACGAGAUCAACAAGCGCACUCGAUGCGAGCACUCGAUGACACGCCUCUCGAAGAACCACAGCAAACACACAAAAUUGAUAGGACUCGACAAAAAAAAGACUCAUAAACGCGGACUGGAACCCAAAGUCAGUGCUGCGCAGAAAACAAAACAAACACCUCAACUAGCUAUGCUACCCAAAGAAGCAAAGAGAACGCGAAAAACCCAAGAAACAAUAGGUUUCAAGAUUUGCAAAGUUUGAUGCUUUCUAUGCUUUUUUGUUCCGUUUUUUUUUUUUAACUGAUGGAAUAUGUAUUUCCGAAAAAACUAACAAUGGUAAAAUAUAUGGAGUUAUGUAGUAUGAAGUAUGGAAGAUGGUAUAGGCGAUAGAGAUGAAAGAUGUAAAUUGGAAUAUGGAACGUAAAAGACGAUGGAUAACAAACCCUAAAAUUUGUAGCCCUUACGAAACCUGGAAAAAACUGAUACCAGAUGAUGUGAACCUCGCCGGUGCAGGGCUGAAACUCAGCCGAGCAGGGCUGAACUUGGCCGGGCAGAGCUGACAACUGGCUGGACUGAUCGAGCUCCGCCGGAUACAAUUUCAGAGAACAGCUACGCGGAUGGUUUAGUAACAAGAAUUAAAAAUAAGAUAGAAGUGUGGAUAUCCCAAAACCCCUGACCUAAUCUACGAAGUUUCCUAGAGAACGGAUCUCUAGACCCCAACGAUGUGAUCGGUGCAGCAACUCGGAGACGUUGAAUGACACACGGCGAGGGAUGAUGAACUCGUCGAUUCGUCGAUAGGUUGAAUUCUUGUUUGGAAUAAUCAAGAAGAAUUCGAAACUUGAGAGAGAAUAAUCACUGUAAUAUUAUCAAAAAUCAACUAACUUUCGUUCAUCACAUAGUGUUCUAUUUAUAGGUAACAGGAAACCCUAACGUAAAGAAGGAAAUAACUUAAACAAAAGGAAACUAAAAACAAGAAAACAAAUAAACUUGUUCAACACGCUUGAACUAAACUAGCGAGAAAAACAACACUAAAAAGCGUCAGGGCUGGACUCGCCAGCUCUGGAAAGUGUCCAGCUCCAGCUCUGAAAAGUCCAUCGCUGGGCUAAAUCCAGCUCUGGAUAUUUGUCAGUGCUGGCGCUUAGGUCUGCCCUGGACUAACGCCAGGUCUGGAGCUCAUCCCUGCCCUGUUCUUCUGUCAGCUCAGGAAUCGAACUCUGCUCUGGAAGUGUUUCCAGCUCUGCUCUGCACGCUAUAAGAUUCACCACCCUCGAGCUCUGUGACGAAGCUGUCAUUUGAGCUUUGUGCAAAUAAAUAAUCCUGUUCCCACAACUAGACUAGCUAGUGGUAAGUCCAAAGUCGAAUCCACAGGGAACUGAGCAAUAACUCCUUCUGCAAGGGUGUCACUAAAAAGGGUUUGUAUUCUGUAGUGUUCUGCCCACAACGAGCUUAUGGGCAGAACGGGUAUCCAACUUAAACUGAAAUAACAAAGGUAAAUAAAUCAAAUAACAAAAUAAUUCUGACUUGGGUUCGAAUCACUAAACAUGAAUUAACACUCGAUCAUUGGUGCAAAGAUUAAUCACUAUAUUCACAUACCAGUGGUUAUAGGCAUAAGAAUUGUUGUGCCCCUAUUGUCACUCGUCACGCACACAACAAAACCCUGCCCAAUCUAUCCUUUCAGUUUAUGAUUCCUUAGAAGGGUCAGCUAAUGGAAAUCAACUACCCCGGGCAACAUCCACGCUCUCUGCGAUGGCCUAUCGCUAGUUGUGCUUUGCCCAGAAUGCUUUAAGAACUAGAUAGACCCACUUGACUCUUACGCCGAUAUUUCACAGCAGUCACGGCUCCAACACCAGUUGUACUAUUUUGGAGGUCGAUGGCAACUCGCCUUAUGCCCAAAUUAUUACUUGUGGCUAGAACUCCCUAGUUAACUAGUGAUCAAUUAAUUAACCAAGUUGUUACAACCUUAUGGGAAUCAAACCUAGUGUAUCGGGAAUAUGCUUAUACAGUUUUUAUGCCCAAAUUAGACCUCUCGAGUUUAGUGUUCAUGCUUAGAUCAUCUUGCCCAAAUCAGAAUAUAAAACUUAGCCAAUCAUAAAAUAAAUAACAAAGGCAAAAGACAUAAAGGAAAACAUAAAGUAAAAACUGAAAUUGAAACUUACUUAAGGCAGAAGGGUACUUACGGCCAAAAGUGCCGUAGAAAACAUGAACAGAAAAUUAAACUGCUAUGCCCAUAAGGGGCGACUACCCCUACCUAACUAUGGAAAGUAAAUCUGCAGCAGUGGUCUCUGAAUUGGUGCCUCCAAAAUCCGUCCUUCCCUUCUACCUAUCCUCUCUCCGAAUGGUUCACAGCUAUGUGGUAUUUAUAGGCAUGAGUUAAGGCUACACAGGCUGGGCCCAAAAUGAGUGGGCUGGAAUUAGGGCUCCUUCUGCCCGAGAUUGCAUCAUGAUCUGGAGGUUGAUUUGUUCUUAUCCAAACCUCAAGAGAUAAGGUUUUGGAUAUCUUUCCUUAUCUACAUCCUCUGCACUCUUCUUCUCUGCCCCGUCUGUACAUUCUGCCCAGCUGAUUCCGCUGCUCGGAUGACUCCUCUGGCAGCUUGACUUCUCUGCCCUGGCAGACUCCUCUGCCCUGGCACCUUAAUUCCUCUGACAGCUUGACUUCUCUGCGCUGGCAGCUCCUCUGCCCUGGCAGCUUGACUUCUCUGCCCUGGCCGACUCCUCUGCCCUGGCAGACUCCUCUGCCCUGUUUGUACCUUCUGCCCACGAUCUUCUUCUGGUGCAAUUGGAUCCCGCGUGGUACUUAUGGGCAAAAGGGUCGGUUUGCCCAACAUCCUGUUUCUCAGACUUUUGGUCUUCAAAACAAGCUUUUGAGUGUCCCAAACUCCUCUGCUUCAAACUCAUGCGUCUUUUGCGGAAUGCAGCAGCAUUAUGCCUUGAAAGCACCUUCUGCCCAAAGAACGGGCCUACCCUAGAACAACGCCCUCCCAGGCGACUGACUCUAGCAAAACAAAGGAAAAGAACUCUAUCUAGACCUAAAACUCACAAGAAAAACGAGCACAAACAUGGGCUCAUCACUCUGCUCUGGCGACAUUUCUCCAAUCGGUCUUCUCAGCUCUUGCUUCCAGACCUCUUCUACCAACGCCAAUAAGUUAGCCCUGAACGUCUUGUUUCUAGCUCUUGUCACCGGACCGACGGGCACAAAGAUCGGAUCGCUGUUCUGGGCUGCACUCGGAGCUCUGCUCGGUGUCAUAGCUGGAUUCAGAGCUCUGCUCGGUGUCAUAGCUGGAGCUCUGCUCUGGGUUUCAUCAUAGUUGCCUAAGUCGCGAGCUCCCAGAGCUGCCUUAGCUGCGAGCAUUAAGUUUUAGAGCUGCCUAAGUCGCAAGCUCUCAGAGCUGGCUUAGCCGCGAGCAUUAAGUUGUAGAGCUGCCUAAGUCGCGAGAGCUGCCGUAGCCGCGAGCAUUAAGUUGUAGAGUUGCCUAAGUCGCGAGCUCCCUGAGCUGCCUUAGCCGCAAGCAUUAAAAUUUAGAGCUGCUUAAGUCGAGAGCUCCCAGAGCUGCCUUAGCCGCAAGCAUUAAAAUUUAGAGCUGCUUAAGUCGCGAGCUCCCAGAGCUGCCUUAGCUGCGAGUAUCAAAAUUUUUACAAAUGCAUACGAAAUUCGUAAAGCCGAAUUAAGUUCGAGCAUUAAUAUAAGAAUUUCACAUUUGUGAGAUUGACUUAAGGGGCAUUGAUCUAAACUUACAAGUCAGAAUUGCAAUAUAAUAUGAAGAGUUUCACACGAGAUAAAGUUGGGGGAGGGGGGUAGGUGGUGGGUCAACGGCAAAAUUGAAAGUAUAGCAUAAAAUAAUUAAGUAAAUAAUAAGAGUAAUAUAGUUAUUUAACAAUUUAUCAAUUAUUUUUCAACAAAGAGAACAUGUGAGCAGGGGCGGAGCUAGGGGUGGGGCAGGGGGUCACUGGGCCCCCCUGGGAUUUUCAAAAAUAGUAGGGGUAUUUUCGUAAUUUUAUAUUAAAAAUAAAAAAUAUAUAAUUUUAUCUAUAUUAUUAUUAUGUUGAGCUAUUUUAAACUGUAAUUGGUAUGCAAUAUUUAGAGUUAAGACGUUUUGAAGAAGUGAACACAUAAUUAAUUUAUACAUAUCAUGAUUAGAUUGGAUUUUAGAGAUUUAUUUUUUUAAUUUGAUAUUGAAAGUUACUUUAUCUUACAAAGAUUGGAUUUUAGAGAUUUAUUUUUUUAAUUUGAUAUUGAAAGUUUUAUGAGAUUUUUGCAAAUAAAAUCACAAACUAUUUCAAAUUUGUAAUUUUAACAUGACUUUUGACUGUGGCGAAUUAUUUUUUCAAUUUUUUCAAUUACGUCCCCUAUUUUUUUUAGAUCGUCAGAGUGUUGAAUUGCAACUUACGUGGAUUAGUAAAGACGACGUCGUUUUUGUGAGGCCUAAACGACGUCUUUUGUACAAUUUCAAUUAAUUUUUUUUCCAAAUUAGAAUGAGACUGUAUCUUGUAUUUGCACCAUAAUUUUCAAUAUGUAGUAAUUUUAUUGAAAAAUACAUCGUAACAUGAAUAUUACAUGGAGAAAUAAUUCACACAAACUUUAAGUUAACAAUUCGACAAUCGAAAAAAUUGGGGGAUGAAAUUGCAAAAAUUAUAAAAGAUGAGUGAUUUACUUUGCCACACUUUCAAAGUUACGUUAAAAUUUUUUUGGACCCCCCUGAAUCAAAAGUCUGGCUCCGCCCCUGCAUGUGAGUAUAUGAUAAAAAAAAUUCUAUUAAAGAGAACAUGAGAUAACAAGAGUGGAAAUGAUAAAAUUUUUCCACCUUUCAUUUCCAUAAUUUUCUCAUGAUAAUUUUAUAAUUAAAGAGAACGCAGCCCAUAAGGCUUAUAUCACUCCAAUUGUAUAUAGAUAUAGAGUUCAAGAAAAUACUCUUAUCCAUAGCAGUAAAUUCUUCAGCAUGUACCUUUUUACCCGAAUUUAAGGUUUGUUUUAGGAAAUCUAGUAUCUUUUGAAAUUGAAGCAGUGAAACAUCGAGCAAAAAUAAAAAAUAAAGUAACCAUUGACUUUGUGUAAACUACAUUCGUUUUAUAUAUACUAGUGGCGAAGGCUUCAAUUGCGAUGAGCUCACACAAGUGCGCCUCGCCUCUCCCUAUUUUUAUGCACCUUUCGUUGUUGCCAACGAGUAGAAAUCUUCCUUUUGGGUAUCUGAAAUUAUCUUUUAAGUAUUAGAGCAUCUGCAAUGGGGUUACAUGAUAGCUUAUUUUAUGAGAGGGGGACCACAUAGUGUAAAGAUGCUGCAUUGAGGUUACAUGAUAGCUUACAUGAUAGCAUUAAUUUUGAUUUUUAUGCUUUUUACUUAAAUUUAAUUGCUCAAAUUUAAAUAACACAUUUUAUUAAUAAUUAAAAUUUCAUUAAAAUAAAAAACCUAAAAAUUACAUUAAAAAAAAUGAGGAAGAAGAAGAAUAAAUAGAAGAAGAAGAGAAAAAAAAAUUGAUGAACGGUCAAAAUUCACGCAAAUCGAGGCAGCAACGGUCAUCGAAUUUUUUUUUUAAUCGGCGCGUGCAUCACACGCGCCUUACACUAUCAUCAAAAUGGGCUACACGAUAGAACGUGUAGCCCUCGUGUAACUCUCGCCCGCAACGCUUACACGAUAGCAGACUUACACGAGUAAGCUGCUAUCGUGUAGGCGUUGCCAAUGCUCUUUAAGGUAUUGGCAUGCCCCAUUUGGCCAUUUCAAGCUUAUAAUUUUGCUACUGGGAAACACGAUUAGGGACUGCAUUUUUUCCACUUGUAUUCGAAUACAUUCAAUAUAAAAUUAAAUUAUCCACGUCACUAAAACCUUAUUGUUUUUGUGUGUUUUCUUUAAAAAAGGUAUAAUUCCAAAAAAAAGAAAAUAGUCAAGCAAAAAAGAAACACCUCACCCCAUCACCAUCGUGUGCCAGCCCCCCUUCCUUUCAUCUUCCCCACCCCUCAUUUUAUUUUUUUGGAAAAAGAGCAAUACUUGCUGAUAUUUUUGAAUCAAUUAUAGAUUUCGGAAUCAAAGUGAUUGGUCGGAUUAUCUUUUCUUGGCUUUUCGGAAUCAAAAAAGAAACACCUCACCCCAUGAUUUUGAAUCGAAAGAUUGCUGAUCCCGAUAGUAAUAUUGUGGCAACUAUGAGCAUGAGAUCUAAUCGAGUUAAGUCUAAGUUUGUUUUCAAUUAAAGAAAAAAAAAAAAAAAAAAACUAAAAAAACUAAAAAAAACAAAAAACAAAUCAAUAUUCUUAAAGAUAGGUGCCUAGCACUAUUUUGUUUUUAAUUGAAUAAAACUGUUGUAAUUUAUUUCAUAAUAUAUCAUUUAUUUACGUGAAAGUUAUUGAACUUCCUAUUAGCACUAUAAGAAAGCACGCGUAUAACGACCGAAAUUAACGAUCGAAAUUUUCGGUCGUUAAUUCAGCAGUCCUAACGACCGAUUUACGACCAUUUCACGACUGAAUUUUUUUAUUUUUUUAAAGAUCGAAAUUUUGAUAGUGAAUAAUUUUUUUAUUUUUUAUUUUAUUUUUUUAAAGAUCAAAUUUUCAGUCGUUAAUAUUAUUUUAUUUUUUAUUUUUUAUAUUUUUUAACGUACGAAAAUUCGAUCGUUAAAACUAUUUUUUUAUUAUUUUAUUUAUUUUAUGUUUUUUAUUUUUUAACGACCUAAAAUUUGGUCGUUAAUAUUAUUUUUUAUUUGUUUUAUUAUUUAUUUUAUUUUUAUUUUUUAUUUAUUUUUAUUUUUAAUGACCCAAAUUUGAUCGUUAAUAUUUUAUUUUUAUUUUUUAUUUAUAUAUAUAUAUAUAAUUUCCUAUUUUAUUCUUAUUUUAAAAUUAUUGAGAAUAUAUACUAUAAUAUUAAUUUUUUUAUUUUAAAUUCGAUCGUAUAUUUACCUUCACUCUUUCGCCGGCAACACAUUUUUUGAUAUUAUCUCGACAUAUUCUAAACUUAUGAAUGAAUGAUAUUGUAUAUUGAAAUAAAAUUUAAAUGAAUUAAUAGGUGUUAGUUAUAUCAAUAAUACUCGUGUUCUGAACUGAUGACUACUCAAAAUGAACUUCAAGGUUAAUCGUGUAUUUGACUUAGAGCACUACUAAUAUGGGUGACCCACUGAAAGCUUCGUCAAAUUGUAUGCAAUUAGAAAUACCAAAAUACUUAAAUAUAUAUAUAUAUAUAUAUAUAUAUAUAUAUAUAUUUACAAAAUUUACUCCUCAUUAUUAACAAAAAUGCAAGCGAUUUAAGUACAUAAAAAUCUGCAAGAAUAUUACUUCCCCCGUCCACUAAUUNAUGGAAGCUGUAUUUCAGCAUCAUUACUCCAGUCUUCAGUGUCACAUGUUCUUCAGAAAUCAUUCUAAUAUGCUGAUAUAUUAUCAAUAUUUGGAAACAGUUUUGCUGCUUAAUAUAUAUAUAUAUAUAUAUAUAUAUAUAUAUAUAUUUUUCAAAAAAAAAAAUUAUUACUCCCUCCGUCCCACUACAAAUAUCCCAUUCUUUUUUUGACAAUAUAUAUUCUUUCUCUAUACCUAAUAUUUAAAUAAUUUUUACCAACCCACUUUAUCUACUUUCUACACAUUUCUUAUUCUUCGUUUCCAAAAGUAAUGAGACGUUUAUAAUGAGACGAAAGGAGUAUUUUUUUAUUUAUUUUUAACGAGCGAAAAAUCGGUCGUUAAAAAUAAAUAAAAAUUAAUAAUUUUUGUUUUUUGGAAAAAAAAAUAACUUCCUCCAUCCACGAAAAAGAGUUUCAUUUGAGUUUCGACACUUGAUGAGAAGUAAUAUAUGCAGAGUAGAGGAAUCGCUCAGGUCAGAGGAAUGAGCUUAGCCAGAGGAACGAGCAUAGUCAGAGGAAUCGUCGCAGUCAGAGGAACACUCUACCAUAUAAGAUAGUCCACGGUAGGAAUGACCGCUUCACCCGGAAAGCACUAGAGCAGAGGAAUCCACCAGAGCAGAGGAAUCGUCUGUUUUCAGAGGAAUCGCCCGUUUAUAGGCGAUAUUACUACUAUACCCCUGACCAUGCGGGGAGCAUGUUCUUUAGGCCGAAAUUACUAUUUUACCCCUAGCAUGUACUCUAUAAAUACUCAUGCACCUGUAUCUUGUAAAACACGUUCUCUCUUAUACACAAGAUUUUUUUUUAUGCAAUUCAUUUCACUACUAGAAUUCAUGCAUAGAUGACAUAAAUAGACGACAUGUUGAAAAAUUGUUGUCUAUAACUCAAUAGACGACAAUAGGUUGCCGUGUCUAUGAGCGAGAAAUCAGACAACAGCAUAAAACACGUCGUCUAAUAGGGGAAUAGACGACAUUCUGGCCGUCGUCUAUAGUGCGGUCAUAGACAACGCGCGCGAAAAUUGUCGUAUAUCUAUAAUAGACGACACCUCCUUUGUAGCUACUAUUAUUAAGUUUUGAAUCAGGUUUUUUUUUCCUAAGUUUACCUCCACACCACUUUGACCUAGCCUCCUCCUUGCACCCGCUCCGCCCUAGCGCCGCUGCACCCCCUGAACCUCAACCUCCGCCUCCAGUCGAAGAAGGCAUUGGGAGCUCUAACUCCAGUCGCCGGCAGCCCUCGCCUCGCCGCGCCUACCCCACUGCGUCUCUCCUCCAGUCGAAGAAGACAUUGGGAGCCCUAACUCCAGUCGCCUGCUCUUGUUCCGCCGUGCCUCCGCCCGAUCUCGCCGCUCCUCCUGCACUCACCUGAAGCCCUCGCCACCUCCUCCGUUCGGCAGCAGCAGCCAAUAGGUUUCUUCUUCUUUAGUUUUUGUUAAUUUGUGUUUUAUAAUUUUCUGAAUUUAAUCCUUCUCCCUGCUGUCAAAAUCAGUCUUGAUUUUAGUUUAAUUCCAAAUUGUGCGUCAAUUGAAUGGAUUCAGCAUCUUGUUCACUCAAAUUUGAAGGUAUUUUGCAAUUGUUUGUGCCUUUGGAAUGCUAUCGAGCUUUUUGCAAAGUAUAGUAUUGAAAUUGAGCAGUAUAAUAGUCUAGACUUGUAGUAUUUGUAUUUCAUUGAUUUUGCUAGGAUGGCCUUUGGA
rnacentral:lncRNA from 1 species